rnacentral:rRNA from 1 species
AUUGAACGCUGGCGGAAUGCUUUACACAUGCAAGUCGAGCGGCAGCACGGGGGCAACCCUGGUGGCGAGCGGCGAACGGGUGAGUAAUACAUCGGAACAUGCCCAGUCGUGGGGGAUAACACUUCGAAAGAAGUGCUAAUACCGCAUACGUCCUGAGGGAGAAAGCGGGGGAUCUUCGGACCUCGCGCGAUUGGAGUGGCCGAUGUCAGAUUAGCUAGUUGGUGGGGUAAAGGCCUACCAAGGCAACGAUCUGUAGCUGGUCUGAGUGGAUGAUCAGCCACACUGGGACUGGGACACGGCCCAGACUCCUACGGGAGGCAGCAGUGGGGAAUUUUGGACAAUGGGGGCAACCCUGAUCCAGCCAUUCCGCGUGAGUGAAGAAGGCCUUCGGGUUGUAAAGCUCUUUCGGCAGGAACGAAACGGCGAGCUCUAACAUAGCUUGCUAAUGACGGUACCUGAAGAAGAAGCACCGGCUAACUACGUGCCAGCCGCCGCCGUAAUAC